rnacentral:misc_RNA from 1 species
UUUCCGUAGGUGAACCUGCGGAAGGAUCAUUAUUGUAUAACCGAGGUGCGAGGGCUGUCGCUGACCCGAAAGGUCGUGCACGCCCGAGUGCCCUCACACACAUCCAUCUCACCCCUAUGUGCACCACCGCGUGGGUCCCCCUUUGGCUUGUUCGGAGGGGGGCUUACGUUUUUCACAAACUUUGUAUGCAGUGUAGAAUGUAUUUUUUGUUUUUGCGAUCACGCAAUCAAUACAACUUUCAACAACGGAUCUCUUGGCUCUC